rnacentral:rRNA from 1 species
GCCAUUGAAACUGGCGAACUUGAGUACAGUAGAGGUAGGCGGAAUUCGUGGUGUAGCGGUGAAAUGCUUAGAUAUCACGAAGAACUCCGAUUGCGAAGGCAGCUUGCUGGACUGUAACUGACGCUGAGGCACGAAAGCGUGGGGAUCAAACAGGAUUAGAUACCCUGGUAGUCCACGCCGUAAACGAUGAAUGCUAGCUGUUAGCGAUAUACUGUUAGCGGCACAGAGAAAUCGUUAAGCAUUCCACCUGGGGAGUACGCCGGCAACGGUGAAACUCAAAGGAAUUGACGGGGGCCCGCACAAGCGGAGGAACAUGUGGUUUAAUUCGAUGAUACGCGAGGAACCUUACCUGGGCUUAAAUUGCAGUGGAAUAACGUGGAAACAUGUUAGCCUUCGGGCCGCUGUGAAGGUGCUGCAUGGUUGUCGUCAGCUCGUGCCGUGAGGUGUCGGCUUAAGUGCCAUAACGAGCGCAACCCUCAUCGAUAGUUACUAACAGGUUAAGCUGAGGACUCUAUCGAGACUGCCGACGUAAGUCGUGAGGAAGGUGGGGAUGACGUCAAAUCAGCACGGCCCUUACGUCCAGGGCUACACACGUGUUACAAUGGGGGGUACAAAGGGCAGCUACCUGGCGACAGGAUGCUAAUCUCAAAAACCUCUCUCAGUUCGGAUUGGAGUCUGCAACCCGACUCCAUGAAGCUGGAUUCGCUAGUAAUCGCGCAUCAGCCACGGCGCGGUGAAUACGUUCCCGGGCCUUGUACACACCGCCCGUCAAGCCAUGGGAGCCGGGGGGACCUGAAGUAUGCAACCGUAAGGAGCGUCCUAGGGUAAAACUGGUGACUGGGGCUAAGUCGUAACAAGGUACC